rnacentral:rRNA from 1 species
AGAGUUUGAUCAUGGCUCAGGACGAACGCUGGCGGCGUGCUUAACACAUGCAAGUCGAACGGAAAGGCCCUUCGGGGUACUCGAGUGGCGAACGGGUGAGUAACACGUGGGUGAUCUGCCCUGCACUUUGGGAUAAGCCUGGGAAACUGGGUCUAAUACCGAAUAGGACCACGCGCUUCAUGGUGUGUGGUGGAAAGCUUCUGCGGUGUGGGAUGGGCCCGCGGCCUAUCAGCUUGUUGGUGGGGUAAUGGCCUACCAAGGCGACGACGGGUAGCCGGCCUGAGAGGGUGACCGGCCACACUGGGACUGAGAUACGGCCCAGACUCCUACGGGAGGCAGCAGUGGGGAAUAUUGCACAAUGGGCGCAAGCCUGAUGCAGCGACGCCGCGUGAGGGAUGACGGCCUUCGGGUUGUAAACCUCUUUCAAUAGGGACGAAGCGCAAGUGACGGUACCUAUAGAAGAAGCACCGGCCAACUACGUGCCAGCAGCCGCGGUAAUACGUAGGGUGCGAGCGUCGUCCGGAAUUACUGGGCGUAAAGAGCUCGUAGGUGGUUUGUCGCGUUGUUCGUGAAAACUCACAGCUUAACUGUGGGCGUGCGGGCGAUACGGGCAGACUAGAGUACUGCAGGGGAGACUGGAAUUCCUGGUGUAGCGGUGGAAUGCGCAGAUAUCAGGAGGAACACCGGUGGCGAAGGCGGGUCUCUGGGCAGUAACUGACGCUGAGGAGCGAAAGCGUGGGGAGCGAACAGGAUUAGAUACCCUGGUAGUCCAA